CCUUCUGUGGCCGCGCCGCCGCCACCGACACCGCCGUGCAGCCAAUGAUGAUGUCGGCAUGUGGUGAAAAGGGGGGCCAAGUGAAAACUCGACCAAGCUAUAAAAAUUCGGUGAGAUGAGUUGUUUUGCUCACAGCUCAUGCCAUGGCAUUUGUUGCCCCUUUUCUUACUUUGUUUUGUUUUUCCCUUCGUCGAUUUUUCAUGUCGCCUGACAAGAACUAGAAUGGCAAAGAAGAAGUGAAAAGAAAACACAGAACAAAGGAUGAAUGCCGGAGAGCACUACUGUAUAUUUACCUCCAAAUAUGAUGGGAAGUGGUGUGCUUGUUUCUGUUUGCAUUGAUCGCAUGGUGGCCACCACUUCACCACGCAUCUGACGACGACUGUUUUAUCCACGAGGUGGAGGAUAAGAAUUGGCUACCAGGUUGGAGAUUUGGGAUCGGAUGCUGCGCCAAGAACUUGGGACCAAAGUGCUGAACUAACAGUAGGGGGAGGGUAAUUCUUCAGAAAUCAAAGAAAGGUCAUUGGUAUAUCCCUAUCACCGACGAAGAUUUGCUAGAGAGGAAGAGGACCAAAAUGUUUUUUCUAUUGUUGGAGAUAUACAUAAUACAUAUUGAUAAAUUUGGACCAUUUAUAACAGAGAUUUCUUGCCCAAAAUAUUAACUCUGUCCAGCUGUGGGCACUGUCAAGGUAAUAACAGCCAAGAAUCAUAAAAGGAUGCACCUAAUGAGGGAGCUGUACAAAUUUGGAACAACUUCCAAAACAGGCAUUCAAGUAUUUUCGUCUGCUACCAGUAAGCUGCCAGAGCAAGAUAGCUGGGAUGUCGAGUCCCUAGGGCAAUGGUGAAUCACAAAUUGCCUGAUGUUCGAUGGGAAGCAUCAAACAAUACCAAUGUCGAGUAGUAAGAUCUGAUUGUUCAGCUGAUCAAGCCAAGAUAAGUGUGUGUGCAUCCCCUUUUAGUCCAGAUUUAGAAAAAUAUGAUUUCUGCUAUGAUAGUUUCCAGAACAGUUUGGCCCUUGAGACACUUCCUUUGUAUGUGUGUGUGGUCCUUUUCUUUCCAAAGAUAUGCAUGUCUAUAGAUAUUAUUGGAAUUGGUUCGACAAACAGUGUAUAUGUGACAAAUUUACUAGUAUACUGAUAUGGAAUGAAAUAAAUAUCCAUGCUUUCUGACACAUAAUCCCCUAGAAAUGUUAGGUACAUAGGAUAUGGAUAGUCUUUUUCAAUGCGAUAAAAUAAAGCGACAUCCUGUCUAUUUUUCUUUGCUAAAGGGGUAUUUCCAUGUCGUAUUGAAUGAUCACACUUAAAUAAGGUGGUGAACAUAGAGGAGAUCUCGACCGGGGGAGGAUAAGUGGUGACAUAGAUGGGGUGACACAUUGAAAUAAAGAGCGUGGACCUGUGUGUUGGGAUCGGGUGCUUUUUGUUAUCCCGUUGCAAUGCACGGGCAUGUUUACUAACAUAUAUAUACAUA